AUAUUGUGAGCUCGAUGAGUAGGGCGGGACACGUGGUAUCCUGUCUGAAUAUGGGGGGACCAUCCUCCAAGGCUAAAUACUCCUGACUGACCGAUAGUGAACCAGUACCGUGAGGGAAAGGCGAAAAGAACCCCGGCGAGGGGAGUGAAAAAGAACCUGAAACCGUGUACGUACAAGCAGUGGGAGCACGCUUAGGCGUGUGACUGCGUACCUUUUGUAUAAUGGGUCAGCGACUUAUAUUCUGUAGCAAGGUUAACCGAAUAGGGGAGCCGAAGGGAAACCGAGUCUUAACUGGGCGUUAAGUUGCAGGGUAUAGACCCGAAACCCGGUGAUCUAGCCAUGGGCAGGUUGAAGGUUGGGUAACACUAACUGGAGGACCGAACCGACUAAUGUUGAAAAAUUAGCGGAUGACUUGUGGCUGGGGGUGAAAGGCCAAUCAAACCGGGAGAUAGCUGGUUCUCCCCGAAAGCUAUUUAGGUAGCGCCUCGUGAAUUCAUCUCCGGGGGUAGAGCACUGUUUCGGCAAGGGGGUCAUCCCGACUUACCAACCCGAUGCAAACUGCGAAUACCGGAGAAUGUUAUCACGGGAGACACACGGCGGGUGCUAACGUCCGUCGUGAAGAGGGAAACAACCCAGACCGCCAGCUAAGGUCCCAAAGUCAUGGUUAAGUGGGAAACGAUGUGGGAAGGCCCAGACAGCCAGGAUGUUGGCUUAGAAGCAGCCAUCAUUUAAAGAAAGCGUAAUAGCUCACUGGUCGAGUCGGCCUGCGCGGAAGAUGUAACGGGGCUAAACCAUGCACCGAAGCUGCGGCAGCGACACUAUGUGUUGUUGGGUAGGGGAGCGUUCUGUAAGCCUGUGAAGGUGUACUGUGAGGUAUGCUGGAGGUAUCAGAAGUGCGAAUGCUGACAUAAGUAACGAUAAAGCGGGUGAAAAGCCCGCUCGCCGGAAGACCAAGGGUUCCUGUCCAACGUUAAUCGGGGCAGGGUGAGUCGACCCCUAAGGCGAGGCCGAAAGGCGUAGUCGAUGGGAAACAGGUUAAUAUUCCUGUACUUGGUGUUACUGCGAAGGGGGGACGGAGAAGGCUAUGUUGGCCGGGCGACGGUUGUCCCGGUUUAAGCGUGUAGGCUGGUUUUCCAGGCAAAUCCGGAAAAUCAAGGCUGAGGCGUGAUGACGAGGCACUACGGUGCUGAAGCAACAAAUGCCCUGCUUCCAGGAAAAGCCUCUAAGCAUCAGGUAACAUCAAAUCGUACCCCAAACCGACACAGGUGGUCAGGUAGAGAAUACCAAGGCGCUUGAGAGAACUCGGGUGAAGGAACUAGGCAAAAUGGUGCCGUAACUUCGGGAGAAGGCACGCUGAUAUGUAGGUGAAGUCCCUCGCGGAUGGAGCUGAAAUCAGUCGAAGAUACCAGCUGGCUGCAACUGUUUAUUAAAAACACAGCACUGUGCAAACACGAAAGUGGACGUAUACGGUGUGACGCCUGCCCGGUGCCGGAAGGUUAAUUGAUGGGGUCAGCGCAAGCGAAGCUCUUGAUCGAAGCCCCGGUAAACGGCGGCCGUAACUAUAACGGUCCUAAGGUAGCGAAAUUCCUUGUCGGGUAAGUUCCGACCUGCACGAAUGGCGUAAUGAUGGCCAGGCUGUCUCCACCCGAGACUCAGUGAAAUUGAACUCGCUGUGAAGAUGCAGUGUACCCGCGGCAAGACGGAAAGACCCCGUGAACCUUUACUAUAGCUUGACACUGAACAUUGAGCCUUGAUGUGUAGGAUAGGUGGGAGGCUUUGAAGUGUGGACGCCAGUCUGCAUGGAGCCGACCUUGAAAUACCACCCUU
rnacentral:rRNA from 1 species